rnacentral:lncRNA from 1 species
GGGGGGAGGGAGAAGAAAAAACAAGUAGAUGAGAGAGAAAGACAAUUCGCUUGUUAGUUAGAACAAAAUUAGUGAACUAGUAGGUUCACUCCGUUAGAAGAAAGCAUUAGGGACACCGGCACAGUGGUGUCUGUUGUCAGCUGUGAUCAUAUUUGAUUUCACCAACAGAGACAAAGAGGCUACACACUGGGAACUCUAAAAGCAUCCUGCUCUUCCCAGAUCCCUGGAAAGAGCCCAGCCCAGCACUCCAAGAGUGUUAGACUGGGAGAGAUGCCAAACUCCAGGGGCUGCCAGACGAGCAGUCUAUUUCUUUAAUUUGGAGACAAUCAUAAGCCAGAAGUUAGAAAGUGUGGGACCACUUUUCUCCUUGGAAAUGAAAAUAAUGCACCUUGGGAUUCAGAUUUCUGUUGACUAAAGCUCCACGUGGUGUUAGGUGGGUAAAUGAUCACAGCAUAGGACAACGGGGCUGGCCUCCUCCUCAGGACCUAUGAGGUGUGCCUAUGAGAAGACUGCAUUCUCGGACCUGGAAGAGCUGUGGCCCAAACACAUGCCCCUGUAAUGC